CGUAGGAUCCGAGCGUUGUCCGGAUUUACUGGGUGUAAAGGGUGCGCAGGCGGACUGGUAAGUCAGUGGUGAAAUCUCGUCGCUUAACGACGAAACUGCCUUUGAUACUAUCAGUCUUGAGUCCGGUAGAGAUCUGUGGAAUUCCGAGUGUAGCAGUGAAAUGUGUAGAUAUUCGGAAGAACACCAGUGGCGAAGGCAGCAGAUUGGGCCGGUACUGACGCUCAUGCACGAAAGCGUGGGGAUCAAACAGGAUUAGAUACCCUGGUAGUCCACGCCCUAAACGAUGUACACUUGAUGUCGGCCUGUAAGGGUCGGUGUCGGAGCUAACGCGUUAAGUGUACCACCUGGGGAGUACGCUCGCAAGGGUG
rnacentral:rRNA from 1 species